UAGCUCAGCUGGGAGAGCACCUCCCUUACAAGGAGGGGGUCGGCGGUUCGAUCCCG
rnacentral:tRNA from 29 species